rnacentral:rRNA from 1 species
AUUGAACGCUGGCGGCAGGCUUAACACAUGCAAGUCGAGCGAGCGGCGGACGGGUGAGUCAUGUCUGGGAAACUGCCUGCUGGAGGGGGAUAACUACUGGAAACGGUAGCUAAUACCGCAUACCCUCGGAUGUGCCCAGGUGGGAUUAGCUAGUAGGUGGGGGAAAGGCUCACCUAGGCGACGAUCCCUAGCUGGGCUGAGAGGAUGACAAGCCACACUGGAACUGAGAGACGGUACAGACGCCAACGGGAGGCAGCAGUGGGGAAUAGUGCACAAUGGGCGAAAGCCUGAUGCAGCCAUGCCGCGUGUAUGAGGAAGGCCUUCGGGUUGUAAAGUACUUUCAGCGGGGAGGCGUUACCCGCAGAAGAAGCACCGGCUAACUCCGUGCCAGCAGCCGCGGUAAUAC